rnacentral:lncRNA from 1 species
CCCCAACCUCUGGCUUUAUGUACACAUGUCAUUCUUCCUGUGUGUGUCUCUCUGUGCAUAAAUUCCUUUUUUUUUUUUUAAGAAGGACACCAGUCAUAUUGGAUUAGGGCCUCACCUGCUCCAUUGUGACUUCAUAUUAACUAAUUACAUCUACAACAACCUAAUUUCCAAAUAAGGUCACAUUCUGAGCUUCUGGGAGUUAAGACCCCAACAUGUAAAUCUGGAGGGAUGCAAUUCAACACGUAAUAUUCCCUAACACAAUAUUUCCAUAACAGUCUGUAGCGUCUUCUUCAGGCUAAGGGAUUGGGGCCUCAUCUAUCAGAGUUGUAAUAAGGAACAAAGGUUGUUGAAGGUAUCCAAAGGGCAAUGUAACCCAAAAAUGUGAACAACUGGUAUAUAUGGAGCAUCAGGAAGAGUAGCUAAUGGAUGUGGAGCUUAAUACCAAGGCGAUGGGUUGAUUUGUGCAGCAAACCACCAUGGUUCACGUUUACCUGUGUAGCAUACCUGUACAUCCUGCACAUAUACCCGAGCUUAAAAGUUGAAGGAAAAUAAAUAAAUUUAAUAUAAAUAUUUAUUUUGAAUUCUUUAUCAGGAAGUUUGUAUAUCUCCAUGUCUUUUGGGUCAGCUACUAGAAGAUUAUUGUGUUCU